rnacentral:tRNA from 1 species
GCGCCUGUAGCUCAGUGGUAGAGCAGGUGUCUUAUACACACCGUGUCGUAGGUCCGAAUCCUGCCAGGCGCA